rnacentral:rRNA from 1 species
AUGAACGCUAGCUACAGGCUUAACACAUGCAAGUCGAGGGGCAGCAUGGUCUUAGCUUGCUAAGGCCGAUGGCGACCGGCGCACGGGUGAGUAACACGUAUCCAACCUGCCGUCUACUCUUGGACAGCCUUCUGAAAGGAAGAUUAAUACAAGAUGGCAUCAUGAGUCCGCAUGUUCACAUGAUUAAAGGUAUUCCGGUAGACGAUGGGGAUGCGUUCCAUUAGAUAGUAGGCGGGGUAACGGCCCACCUAGUCUUCGAUGGAUAGGGGUUCUGAGAGGAAGGUCCCCCACAUUGGAACUGAGACACGGUCCAAACUCCUACGGGAGGCAGCAGUGAGGAAUAUUGGUCAAUGGGCGAGAGCCUGAACCAGCCAAGUAGCGUGAAGGAUGACUGCCCUAUGGGUUGUAAACUUCUUUUAUAAAGGAAUAAAGUCGGGUAUGGAUACCCGUUUGCAUGUACUUUAUGAAUAAGGAUCGGCUAACUCCGUGCCAGCAGCCGCGGUAAUACGGAGGAUCCGAGCGUUAUCCGGAUUUAUUGGGUUUAAAGGGAGCGUAGAUGGAUAUUUAAGUCAGUUGUGAAAGUUUGCGGCUCAACCGUAAAAUUGCAGUUGAUACUGGAUAUCUUGAGUGCAGUUGAGGCAGGCGGAAUUCGUGGUGUAGCGGUGAAAUGCUUAGAUAUCACGAAGAACUCCGAUUGCGAAGGCAGCCUGCUAAGCUGCAACUGACAUUGAGGUUCGAAAGUGUGGGUAUCAAACAGGAUUAGAUACCCUGGUAGUCCACUCGGUAAACGAUGAAUACUCGCUGUUUGCGAUAUACUGCAAGCGGCCAAGCGAAAGCGUUAAGUAUUCCACCUGGGGAGUACGCCGGCAACGGUGAAACUCAAAGGAAUUGACGGGGGCCCGCACAAGCGGAGGAACAUGUGGUUUAAUUCGAUGAUACGCGAGGAACCUUACCCGGGCUUAAAUUGCAGAUGAAUUACGGUGAAAGCCGUAAGCCGCAAGGCAUCUGUGAAGGUGCUGCAUGGUUGUCGUCAGCUCGUGCCGUGAGGUGUCGGCUUAAGUGCCAUAACGAGCGCAACCCUUGUUGUCAGUUACUAACAGGUUCCGCUGAGGACUCUGACAAGACUGCCAUCGUAAGAUGUGAGGAAGGUGGGGAUGACGUCAAAUCAGCACGGCCCUUACGUCCGGGGCUACACACGUGUUACAAUGGGGGGUACAGAGGGCCGCUACCACGCGAGUGGAUGCCAAUCCCCAAAACCUCUCUCAGUUCGGACUGGAGUCUGCAACCCGACUCCACGAAGCUGGAUUCGCUAGUAAUCGCGCAUCAGCCACGGCGCGGUGAAUACGUUCCCGGGCCUUGUACACACCGCCCGUCAAGCCAUGGGAGCCGGGGGUACCUGAAGUGCGUAACCGCGAGGAGCGCCCUAGGGUAAAACUGGUGACUGGGGCU